UAUGAGCUGUGCUAGACACUUUCUUGGUGGUGGUUGACACGGUGUUUUUGCUUUUACAGACCUGGCUGGUGCUGGGGCCUCUUCAGCUGUCACAGUCACUGGCUGCCCCGCUCCAGUGACCUCAGCCCGUUUCCCGACAUCUUUUUUUUUAGACAGCCUAUGGCGCGAUGUCCAGCUUGGCCACAAACAAAGCAGUGAGGUCAGCUCAUGUUGCCCUGUUGUACACAGUCCCUGCAUCUGCCCCUGGUCUCCGUUGUUGGUGCCUGAGGACGGACUGCUGGUGGGCAGGGGUCCCUUGGUGUCGCACUGUCAAUCAAACUAAACAGCAAAGGACUGAUCUUCUCCGUGUGGCUCCUGCUGGCGUCCGUGUUCCUGACCGUCCUGGGAGUUCACCUAAACAAGUGGACGUUGGACAAGCGCCUGGGUAUCAUCUGUCUCCUCCUCUACUCCAUCUUCCUGUGUUUCUCCUGCCUCAUCGAGUACAACAUCUUCACCUUUGUCAACCUGCCAACCUGCCAGGAUGACUGAGGCACACGAGCACACGCACACACACACUGAUAUACAUAUGUUGCACACUCUACACUAGAAUUGGAGUUCCAAGUGAAGUUUUAAACACAGACGUGGCGGUGUCCGACGAUAGAAUCAGAACCACAAAGUAUAUUUCUAAAUCUAAUCAAAAACCAAUUGACACUGAUUCACUCUGUUCCCUGCUGUUCUCCUCUUGUACGAGAAGACAUCCCACUCUGCUCUUUUUUCUGAUGCAUGUCUUUCUGCUCUGUGCAAUAUGGAGCAGUGUGGGCGGAGCAGAGAUGGUAAAUGACUAUACACAAGCCCUCAUACAGGACAGGACGGCGGACAACAGCCACGACAACAACAACAAAAAAACAAUUUGUCCGACUACUGCUCGCUUCUUGCGUGAGAACCUCUAUUUUGAAAACCGCCCCGUAUUUAAAUUAGUAAUGUUUACUAGCUGCUAACCUUUCCUGGGACGAGAGUCGGGUCUUUGAGAUUCGACGAGUUGAGUAAUAUACAAAAGUUUAAUUCUAAAAGCAAUGAUGUAAAUGGGUGGUUGGGGGGGUGGUCGUAGGUUAGCGCUGUGGUGCAGACGGUAUUUAAACAGUGUUUUUGCAAUUUACAGUUUGUGGUCAAAAUUAGGUUUGUUGAGUGCGUUUGUUUCGAACAUUUAAGAGAUACAGCUACACAUCUUGGGAGGAUAAAAAAAAUCCUGAACCCCCCCACCUGCGCACAGAACUAGGGCAUUACCCACUCACCUUUUUAUGUAUUAACUUCAAUAGCAUCACAGCUGUAGAUUCUAUGUUUCGUACUGGAAAUGAAUUGGCUUUAUGAGAUGAGAGGGUUUUUUCUGUAAAUAGCACACCUCUGUAAAUACCCCCAGAUGUCAUAUUUAUUAUUUAUUCAUGUCAUACGCACAUUUCUCCUCCGGAGAUCCCAAAACCCCCGGCAGGUUUUAUUUGUGGACCCGGGGUUUGCUGAGAUCCACACCUAAGAUCUUUACGGACGACCACUCGUGUACACACAAGCACAAUUUCCUCCGAAGGUAUUUGUCUCAUUGAUUUCACGAAUGACUUGAUUUAGUUAGAUGUGUAUGUGUGGAUGUCAGAAAAACAGAAUUCAAACUUGCACUGAAGAGCUUAAACUAGCUUCACAGAGAGACUGUACCUUAAUGCAUGCUGAUUAUGAGGAUAGCAUCCUUGUAAAAUGAAGCAAGUUUGUAUGAAAUUAUUGGGUCGAGGUUUUAGGGAAGCAAGUGUUGUGUUUUGGGGGAUUGGUUUGUGAAGAGGUGUCAUAGUCUGCGCUGCCAGGGACAGAAAAUAAUGAACUGCUGCUUUUUCCUCUUCUGUAAAACAUCGACCAAAUAGACUCAAAAACGGUGGCGGCAUUAUAUAGAAAUGACAGAUAAGCAAGUUAGACAAAAGAGGGAGUAAGGUAUUAAAGUGGUGGUGCGAUCAUACGACUAAAGAUGCAGAAUAAAAGCAUCGGGACUUUGAUCCCAGCUCUAAUCUUCAGGUUGGGGGUUUUAACUUUAUUUUUUAUCCAGUUCUUUGUAUUUUGUAAUGCCUAAUGUCUAUAAUUGUCCAGAUAUGGUAGGUUUGUGGUAAAAGAAUUGAGAUAUAAAUAUUCCUAUAGUUUUUAGAGCAUGUACAAUGUGGUUUGUGAAAACCCAGACGCGGGAUUUUUUAUUCCACUACGGUUGGUCGAGUCACGCUAUUCCUCAAAGACGUCUGAACACGUCCUCUUUCACAGUAUCCAUCAAAUCGUCAGCUUUUUCCUCCAGAUAAGUUCAUUUGAAAUGUCAAGUGCUCUGCUCUUUCUUUCUUUUCUUUGGAUAGAAGACAAAUACUAAAACACGACUGAGUCUGAUUUGUUUCAGGGAUAUUUUUUAUUUAUUGAUCAGUAAUACAAAAUAUAGAAUCUUUGAAAAACUGUCUUUCGAAUGUAAAAAUAAUUAAUGUUGUUUUUUUGUUGAUAUAUAUAUACAGUAUAUAUACUAUACAUAUUUAUUUAUUUCAGAGAACCAGGCAGAGUACUUUGUGCUAUGACCGGAAAACAGGGUUUAAAUGUGUUUUGAAUCUUGUUUAAUGCAAUAACUAUGAGCAUAUACAAAUAUGUAAAUAUGCCGCUUUAAUGAUCAAAGACACAUAACAGAGUUUAACAUAACGUACUCCAGUUGUUAAUGAUGUCCGUCACACUGUAACAGCAUUCUUUAUGAAAUGAUUUAUCAAUAACUAUAGAAACAAUCAAAGCAGGACUGUUAACAUACAGAGUCAGCUCUAAUGAAUGCUUUACAUCAUUAUCACAUUCUGGCUAUAAUGUCUGCCUGAAGGGAGCCACUGAUGUUUACAAUCUGAGGCAAUCAUUUCCUUUAUCAUAAGCAUGUCAUUUAAGGGUAGAGAUGUUACUAUAGGUCCCAUCAUUUCCUAAUCAUUGUAUCUUAAAGAACUACGUAAUGAGGUGCUAGUUAUGGGGAACGUUUUCUUAAGCAGGUGCUGAGUUAUAUGGAAGCCCAUCUCCACACAAAUAAAAGUAAUCAUUAGUCAACAUCUUUACUUUGUAAGUCUAAUUAAAAUACUAAGUCAAAAUUAUUAUUAUUUUAUUGACAAUAUCAUAGUUGUGACUUUGAAUUUACUAACCCAAUUUUCACUUACGUUCUUAAUAUGUCAUGCUCUUAGCCUUACUAUCUCACACAUCUUAAAAGUCAAAUCUAACUUGAACUUUAACUGACUGAUUUUGUGGACCCAUAUCAUAUUUUUUUUUUGUACUGUUAAAAAUGUACCCAUAUACUCAGAAUAUUCCUCUGGGUCUAUGUAUGAAAACGUUCCCCUUUUUAAGCUAGAGUAGCAAUUAUUAAUUGGAUGUGUACCAACUCAGCACCGUCUUUGUUUUAAUUAGAAUUGUUUAAAUUACAUAGUUUCCUGAGACGUUCUUAAGAAUUUACACUUGCAUAUUUUCUUUCUAGGAAAUUGAAGGGAAGUCAAGGGACCAAAGAAAUAAAAUGCAUCUCUCUCAAAUCCCAAAAUGCUUCUGAGCGUUGGUACAUUGAAAAUCAACAUGGAUCAAAGUUAAGUUUCAAAACAUCAACAUUUGGUGAUUUUGAUUAAAUUCAGAGGCGGAUAUUCAAGCACAUGUAUUGUAACAU